CCUACGGGGGGCUGCAGUGGGGAAUAUUGGACAAUGGGGGCAACCCUGAUCCAGCCAUGCCGCGUGUGUGAAGAAGGCCCUCGGGUUGUAAAGCACUUUCAGUGAGGAAGAACGCCUGGUGGUUAAUACCCAUCAGGAAAGACAUCACUCACAGAAGAAGCACCGGCUAACUCCGUGCCAGCAGCCGCGGUAAUACGGAGGGUGCGAGCGUUAAUCGGAAUUACUGGGCGUAAAGCGCGCGUAGGUGGCUUGAUAAGCCGGUUGUGAAAGCCCCGGGCUCAACCUGGGAACGGCAUCCGGAACUGUCAAGCUAGAGUGCAGGAGAGGAAGGUAGAAUUCCCGGUGUAGCGGUGAAAUGCGUAGAGCUCGGGAGGAAUACCAGUGGCGAAGGCGGCCUUCUGGACUGACACUGACACUGAGGUGCGAAAGCGUGGGUAGCGAACAGGAUUAGAUACCCGGGUUGUC
rnacentral:rRNA from 1 species